AUUGAACGCUGGCGGCAUGCUCUACACAUGCAAGUCGAGCGGCAGCGCGGGGGCAACCCUGGCGGCGAGCGGCGAACGGGUGAGUAAUACAUCGGAACGUGUCCUGUAGUGGGGGAUAACCUGUCGAAAGAUAGGCUAAUACCGCAUACGAUCUACGGAUGAAAGUGGGGGAUCGCAAGACCUCGCGCUAUAGGAGCGGCCGAUGUCCGAUUAGCUAGNGGCGGGGUAACGGCCCACCAAGGCGACGAUCGGUAGCUGGUCUGAGAGGAUGAUCAGCCACACUGGAACUGAGACACGGUCCAGACUCCUACGGGAGGCAGCAGGUGGGGAAUUUUGGACAAUGGGCGCAAGCCUGAUCCAGCCAUGCCGCGUGAGUGAAGAAGGCCU
rnacentral:rRNA from 1 species